rnacentral:rRNA from 1 species
UAUUGCAGGUACCGCACGAAUAAGGACCGGCUAAUUCCGUGCCAGCAGCCGCGGUAAUACGGAAGGUCCGGGCGUUAUCCGGAUUUAUUGGGUUUAAAGGGAGCGCAGGCCGUCCUUUAAGCGUGCUGUGAAAUGCCGCGGCUCAACCGUGGCACUGCAGCGCGAACUGGAGGACUUGAGUACGCACGAGGUAGGCGGAAUUCGUGGUGUAGCGGUGAAAUGCUUAGAUAUCACGAAGAACUCCGAUUGCGAAGGCAGCUUACCGGAGCGCAACUGACGCUGAGGCUCGAAAGCGCGGGUAUCGAACAGGAUUAGAUACCCUGGUAGUCCGCGCGGUAAACGAUGGAUGCCCGCCGUUGGGUUUUAGAAUUCAGCGGCCAAGCGAAAGCGUUAAGCAUCCCACCUGGGGAGUACGCCGGCAACGGUGAAACUCAAAGGAAUUGACGGGGGCCCGCACAAGCGGAGGAACAUGUGGUUUAAUUCGAUGAUACGCGAGGAACCUUACCCGGGCUUGAAUUGCAGGAGAACGAUCCAGAGAUGGUGAGGCCCUUCGGGGCUCCUGUGAAGGUGCUGCAUGGUUGUCGUCAGCUCGUGCCGUGAGGUGUCGGCUCAAGUGCCAUAACGAGCGCAACCCCUGUCCAUAGUUGCCAUCAGGUCGUGCUGGGCACUCUGUGGAGACUGCCGCCGUAAGGUGUGAGGAAGGUGGGGAUGACGUCAAAUCAGCACGGCCCUUACGUCCGGGGCUACACACGUGUUACAAUGGGGCAUACAGCGAGUUGGAUGUGCGCAAGUACGUCCGGAUCAAUAAAGUGCCUCUCAGUUCGGACUGGGGUCUGCAACCCGACCCCACGAAGCUGGAUUCGCUAGUAAUCGCGCAUCAGCCAUGGCGCGGUGAAUACGUUCCCGGGCCUUGUACACACCGCCCGUCAAGCCAUGAAAGCCGGGGGCGCCUGAAGUCCGUGACCGCGAGGGUCGGCCUAGGGUGAAACCGGUGAUUGGGGCUAAGUCGUAACAAGGUAGCCGUACCGGAAGGUGCGGCUG